ensembl:lncRNA
UAUAAUUUGAAUAAUUGCAAUGAAACUGAUUUCUUUAAGCACACACAGUAUUAUAUGUUAAUCUCUGAGUGUUGUAGUACAGAAAUCUGUUGCAUUAAUCUGUUUUGUAAUUACACAGGUACAACCAUCAACCCAACCACUGAAUUCAGCUCAGCAUUUUUUACAACGGUCAGUUUAAUCACCACAGAUCAUGAAACUUUAACAACGGUCAGCCCAAACAUCACUGCUACUGAAAAUUUGACAGCAGUUUCAUCGGCCCAUACAGAAACCAUCAUUCAAGCAUUAAAAGAUGACAAUCAGAAUCUGUGGGCUGCCAUUAAAGCGAGUUCUGGACUCCUGGUUGUGUCGUUUCUGCUGAAUAUUGUUUUACUCCUCAUGGUGGGUAAUGUACACAGGAAUUCCAAGAAGAAAAGUCAGAGAGUUGAGGAACCCAGAGUCAGAGGAUCUGAUAGAGAAAAUGACCAGUCUAGAACUUUGCUGGUUGCUUGUUUUUCUCCAGUUACAUAAUCAUUCUCCAGUCAUCACUCUGUAUGCAUGGCACAGUGCUGUCUUUAAAUCUGAGACCGGCAACCAUCCCAAUAUAUGCAGCUUGUUAUAUUAAUAUAUUCAGUCAUGUCCACACAGAUUGUGUAUUUUACAGUUUCUACUUGCGCUUGUCUUGAAUGUGUCUCCGUAACUGUUAUCCUUCGUCUAUCAAGUACCUCUGUUAAUGGUUUUCUGAUCUAGAAUGAUAUUGAAUAAAAUGGUCUGUCUUUCCA